rnacentral:rRNA from 1 species
UUUCCUACGGGAGGCAGCAGUGAGGAAUAUUGGUCAAUGGCCGGAAGGCUGAACCAGCCAAGCCGCGUGAAGGACGAAGGUGCCAAGCAUUGUAAACUUCUUUUGUCAAGGGACAAAAUCAGGCUCGAGAGCCUGACCGAGGGUACUUGAAGAAAAAGCAUCGGCUAACUACGUGCCAGCAGCCGCGGUAAUACGUAGGUGGCAAGCGUUAUCCGGAUUUAUUGGGCGUAAAGGGAACGCAGGCGGUCUUUUAAGUCUGAUGUGAAAGCCUUCGGCUUAACCGGAGUAGUGCAUUGGAAACUGGG